rnacentral:rRNA from 1 species
CACCACAACAGGUGGAGCCUGCGGUUUAAUCGGACUCAACGCCGGGAAACUCACCAGAUAAGACAGCUGAAUGAUAGUCGGGCUGAAGACUCUACUUGACUAGCUGAGAGGAGGUGCAUGGCCGUCGUCAGUUCGUACUGUGAAGCAUCCUGUUAAGUCAGGCAGCGAGCGAGACCCACGCCAACAGUUGCCAGCUCGUCCUCCGGGAUGGUGGGGACACUGUUGGGACCGCCUCUGCUAAAGAGGAGGAAGGAAUGGGCAACGGUAGGUCAGCAUGCCCCGAAUUAUCUGGGCUACACGCGGGCUACAAUGGGUGGGACAAUGGGUAUCGACACCGAAAGGUGAAGGCAAUCUCCUAAACCCAUCCGUAGUUCGGAUUGUGGGCUGCAACUCGCCCACAUGAAGCUGGAAUCUGUAGUAAUCGUGUCUCAAAAUGGCACGGUGAAUAUGUCCCUGCUCCUU